rnacentral:rRNA from 1 species
UACAGAGGUCCCAAGCGUUGUUCGGAUUCACUGGGCGUAAAGGGUGCGUAGGUGGCGUCGCAAGUUCGAUGUGAAAUCUCCGGGCUUAACCCGGAAAUGGCAUUGAAUACUGCGGUGCUGGAGGUUUGGAGGGGGGACUGGAAUUCUUGGUGUAGCAGUGAAAUGCGUAGAUAUCGAGAGGAACACCAGUGGCGAAGGCGAGUCUCUGGACGACUCCUGACACUGAGGCACGAAAGCUAGGGGAGCAAACAGG